rnacentral:rRNA from 1 species
UACGUAGGGUCCGAGCGUUGUCCGGAAUUAUUGGGCGUAAAGCGCGCGUAGGCGGCUUUGUAAGUUAGAGGUGAAAGCCCGGAGCUCAACUCCGGAACUGCCUUUAAGACUGCAUCGCUAGAAUCAUGGAGAGGUGAGUGGAAUUCCUGGUGUAGCGGUGAAAUGCGUAGAUAUGCGGAGGAACACCGAUGGCGAAGGCAAUCCCCUGGGCCUGCACUGACGCUCAUGCACGAAAGCGUGGGGAGCAAACAGG